AGCGAACGCUGGCGGCAGGCCUAACACAUGCAAGUCGAGCGCCCAGCAAUGGGAGCGGCAGACGGGUGAGUAACGCGUGGGGAUCUGCCCAAUGGUACGGAAUAACCCAGGGAAACUUGGACUAAUACCGUAUGUGCCCUUCGGGGGAAAGAUUUAUCGCCAUUGGAUGAACCCGCGUCGGAUUAGCUAGUUGGUGAGGUAAAGGCUCACCAAGGCGACGAUCCGUAGCUAGUCUGAGAGGAUGAUCAGCCACACUGGGACUGAGACACGGCCCAGACUCCUACGGGAGGCAGCAGUGGGGAAUAUUGGACAAUGGGCGCAAGCCUGAUCCAGCCAUGCCGCGUGAGUGAAGAAGGCCUUAGGGUUGUAAAGCUCUUUCGCCGGUGAAGAUAAUGACGGUAACCGGAGAAGAAGCCCCGGCUAACUUCGUGCCAGCCGCCGCAGUAAGAC
rnacentral:rRNA from 1 species